CAGCCGCCGCGGGAAUACGUAGGUGGCAAGCGUUGUCCGGAAUUAUUGGGCGUAAAGGGCUCGCAGGCGGUUUCUUAAGUCUGAUGUGAAAGCCCCCGGCUCAACCGGGGAGGGUCAUUGGAAACUGGGAAACUUGAGUGCAGAAGAGGAGAGUGGAAUUCCACGUGUAGCGGUGAAAUGCGUAGAGAUGUGGAGGAACAUCAGUGGCGAAGGCGACUCUCUGGUCUGUAACUGACGCUGAGGAGCGAAAGCGUGGGGAGCGAACAGGAUUAGAUACCCCAGUAGUCCCUGUCUCUUAUAC
rnacentral:rRNA from 1 species